UGAUCGCCAUUUAUCGGUAUGGGAAUCCUAAAAGUUUUUUAUAUGGGGGGUGAAAAUUUUUUAGAAAUUCCUUACCAAAAAAGAAAAUUUUUUAGAAAUUAAAUAGUGUCUUUAAUACUCUAUCAUUUCAAGCCCGAAAGAGAGAGAGAGAUAGGGUUCUGGUCCCGAGGGAGCUGCACGUCUGCAACAAUGGUGGUGAAGCCGAGUAAGGGUGGAAGAAAAGGAGAGGUGGUUACUAGAGAAUAGAGUCUCAGCUCCUUUACCUUCCUUUACAGGAAAAUGAUCUCUUCUUCAACCAUUUUCAAUUCUGCAAGAAGCACAUGCACCUGCAUCAAUAUCCUAUUUGUUAUUCUUCCCUCCUAAGGCAAGCAAAUAAUUCAUGGGGUCGAAACAAUUACCUGAAGUGGUAGCAACGAUGAAAGUGAUGGACGAGAAACAACAUGUCCAUGUAAUGCACAUUGAAUAACCCGAUUCAAUUUCUGCUCGUCAUCUAAUUCUGCUUCGAGUACGGCAACCUGGAGAUUGCAAAAUUGCAAAAUCAAUUCCUGUUAGAGAUGCGUGCACAUUCAUUGUUAGUUUUGUCAUUUGAAAAAACAAGGACCGGAAUUGUUCUUUGCAUGGAGAAAGGCUUGGCUCAAUCUGGGCUAGCCAGAGAAGACGUCAAUUACAUUGAUGCACAUGCUACAUCUACCCCUACUAGUGACCUGAAAGAGUAACAAGCUCUAAUUCGUUGUUUUGGCCAAAAUCCCGAGGCAAUAUGAAUGCAAUAAUUUAUAUAUCUAAUGAUGUUCACUUGUCAUCACCAUAUGCAGUGCUUGAUGGGAUUUUUUAAUUUCUGGAGCUGCGAUUGAACACUAGAAAAUCCAUGAUUGGUCAUCUAUUAGGAGCAGCUGGUGCUGUAGAAGCUGUUGCAAUAGUGCAGCUACUUGAUCGGCUUAAGGAGUGGGAUGGUUUCACUGGUCAUGCUCACACCCAGAUUGAGGAAGACAAUAGUGAAAGGUGAUAUUAAUCAAGACCGGGUAAUCUUUAUUCACUGUUUUCAUCCAAAUUCUAUUUAUCUUUCAUGCUUUUUCUGUGUUCUAUUGAGCUUGGUUUUAUCUUGGUUUGAUCUUCAUUCACGUUACAUGUGUAGAGAGUUUAUUCCAAGGUACUUGUAGUGCAUAUCUUUUGAUUUCAUUUGUUUUUUUGAAAUUCCUGUCUUAAGGCGCCCAUCCUAAAUCCCUUGUAUAUAAACCACCUGCAACAACACACUCACCCGCUUAAGGAUCUUAUUGUUUUAGCUUUCUUGGUUUUUCUACGCACUGUUCGUAUAUGUUAAGCUAUGUACCCCUACUGAAGAUUUCCUACUGAUACCGUUUUGAGUGAGACAACAUUUUCAUUCCCCGUGUCACACCCUUGAACUAGUGGCAGAGGCAUCAUGAAGAUUCUAUUUUGGAAUGAGGACUACAUACCAAAACCACAAGAAUGUGUCUCAAUAAACACAUUUCUGAUACCUUGACUGACUGUCUCUUCCUAUGUGAAACAAAAAUUUCUGACCAUGCCAAUUUCAAUCCACUAAAGCACUCAAGCCACUUUGUCUUAGACAUUUUUACCAAUAGUUUUGGCUCAGCGGGAAGAAAAGGUGGGAUCUAGCUGCUUAUCAAAAAGCAUGUGAAAUUCUCCAUUUUACAUAUCAACCAAUAGAGCAUUUCAGUUCAAUUCGAGCCCUCCAUAGAUCUCCCUUUAUCCUGGACCCUUGUCUGUAUUUAUGCUCCACCACAACCCGCAUGUAGAUUAGAAUUUUAGCAUGAACUUGACCUUUUCCUGCAAAUGCUUUCUUCACCUACCCUUCUUCUUGGUGAUUUUAAUGAAGUUCUUUCACAAGAACACAAGUUUGGAGGAAAACCCUUUAAACACUCACCAUCAUCCUUGAAACUUGAAGAGGUGAUUUCCAAGUACAGCUUCCAAAGUAUCCCACUGAAGGGGAACCCAUACACCUGGUCCAACAGACAGCACCCACCGAAUCUGAUCAAAGAAACCUUAACAGAGCCUAUGCCAAUAACCUGUGGAUUUCCCUGUGCCCAAUGGUCACCCUCACCAAGAAACCAUCCUUGGGAUCAGACCAUAACCCCAUUCUCUUAAACACUGCUCAAGCGGCCUCAUCUUGUAGAAAGUUGUUUCAUUACCACCAUGCUUGAAGACAUCACCUGGAAUUCAUGUCCUUCUGUUCAAGCAAACGUCUCUCUCUCGACUCCAAUGACAAUAUCAUGACUAAACUUGCCUCUCUAAAUCGAUCCCUCUCACUUUGGAACUGAAAUGUCUUUGGUCGCAUUGAGCACAUUAAGAGCAACCUGACCUCUCAACAUCUUGUCUCUGAGAACAAUCAUUGCACUCUUAAUCUCAGUGACAUUGAAAGUAAAUUCUCAUGGAUUGUGGAUGCUGAGGAGAAAUUUUGGUGCCAGAAGUCUAGACAUGACUUCAUUCUUUUAGGUGACCGCAACACAAAAUUCUUUCACACUAUAGCCAAGGUCAACCAAUACAAAAGACAAAUCAAUUUCAUUCUAGAUCUAAAUGGGAACAAAAUCGAGGAUCCUUGUGGGAUGGCUGCGACCUUUGCGGCCUUUCCUAAAGAACUAGUCACAACCUAACCCUUUGGAUCCUCACUUUGUAGAGUGUCUUUUCCCCCAUUAGAUGAGUUGGAUGUGACUUCCCUCAUUGCUCCACCAUCCUUGGAGGACAUUAAGACUGCAGUCUUCUCCAUUGGCCCUUUCAAGGCCCCAGGAAAUGACGAAUUCCAAGCUAUAUUUUUCCAAAAGUUCUGGGGCCAACUCCAUGUUGACAUCUCUUCCUUUGUCCAAAAUUUCUUCCAAUCAGGAUCCCUCCCCCCCAAAUGUCAAUCACACUCUGCUCUGCAUGAUUCCAAAAAAGGAUAAUGCCCUGGAGGUCACUGAUUUUUGACCCAUCAGUCUUUGUAAUGUCACAUACAAAUUUGUGGCAAAAAUCAUGGCCUCUCGUUGAAAGCCAAUUCUUUGGAAAAUUAUUUCCCCAUACCAGGCUGCUUGUCCUUGGGCGACAAAUCACUGAUAAUAUUGUCAUUGUCCAGGAAAUCUUUCACUUCCUCAAAAGGAAAAAAGGUAGGUCAGGAUUUGUUGCCAUUAAAUUGGACAUGUCUAAGGCAUAUGAUAAAAUAGAAUGGGGUUUCCUUACAACCAUUUUUCACUUUAUGGGUUUUGGUAAAAUGUAGACCAAGCUUGUUCACCACUUGGUAAGUACUUCUUCAUUUUCCUUGAAAUUAAAUUGUUCAGCUCUCAAUUUUUCUCAAACCAUCAAGGGGGAUCCGAUAGGGGUGCCCCUUAAGCCCUUUUCUGUUUAUAAUAGUGAUGGAAGGGCUCUCAAGACUCUUGACAAUGUAUAGAGAGCUAAACAUGUUUAAAGGUAUCAAUAUUACUAGAUCCGCCCCUGAGGUGUCACACUUAUUCUUUGCGGAUGAUACCUUUAUUUUAUGUCGGGCCACUAAAGAAGACCUUACCACAAUAAAUGCAUUCUUGACCUAUUUUUUGAUCUCUCCGGGCUAACAAUUAACUUUGACAAAAAUGGCCUUCUAUUUAGCUCCAAUUUGGAUGAUCGUACAAAAAUUCCCUUUGUAAGAUAAUCGGUAUUCGGGAAAUGGGACCCGAUUCACAAUAUUUGGGUACAUGUAUUGUCCAUUCUAGAAAUAAAUCUAGGAUUUUCACCAAUGUUGUAAAGAGAGUAAAAAAUAAGCUUGGUUUGUGGAAAUCAAAAUCAUUGUCUUUUUCUGGUCGAGGUAUACUUCUUCAAUCUUCCCUAGCCUCUAUACCAUCUUAUCUCAUGUCAUGUUUUACAUUUCCUAAAAAUGUCUGCAAAUCUUUAGACUCAAUUCUAUUACAUUUUUGGAAUGGUGAUGGUGAAAACAAAAGGAAAACCCAUCUUAUUGGAUGGAACAAGAUCUGUCGACCAAAAAAUGAUGGUGGCCUUGGAUUCAGAGAUGCUGAAACUUAAAAUAAGGCACUGCUACUUAAACUUGGUUGGUGGCUCCUCUCCAACAUGAACAACCUUUGGGCGAAAAUCCUUAAAUGUAAGUACUUUGCUAAGAGAUCCAUCUUUCACCCCAAAACUUUAAAAGCUAGGGGAUCUCCAUGUUGGAAUAGCAUCACCAUAAUUCUCCCAAUACUGAAAACAAUGGUUGUUCGAAAGAUUGGGAAUGGAGCUACCACCUCUUUCUGAUUCGACCCAUGGGUCCACUCACAAAACAAAACAAAAUUGAAUUGCAUGAAACUUGUAUUACCAGCAAUGCAUCCAACCUUCCUAACAUCCCCAUACGUUCUGUCUUUCUGGACAAUACUUGGAAUUUGGAUCUGUUAAAUACUAUGCUUCCUGCCAACCUUACCACUAUAAUUGCUCAAACCCCAUUAUCUCGUCUACUUGACAAGAGGUGGUGGUCUCCUCUCGAAGGAUGGUUCCUUCUCAACUAAGUUAGCAGCAACAUUUCUUAAAACUGGAUCACUAACUAGCUUCAAUGGCUGCUCAAACAGGUGUUGUUGCUCUUCUCCUUGCUCUCGAUGAUGGCGAUUCUUUUGGAGAAUCAAUAUCCACCCGAAGUUUAAGUUAUUUUUCUGGAGAAUGAUCAACAAAGGACUCCCGACAAAGGAUAUUUUGUCAAAAUGGGUGGAUAUUGACCCUCUUUGUUCCUUUUGCCUCUCUCAGAGAGAAUCUACUUUUCAUAUUUUGUUUGAAUGUGAGCUAGCAAAAAAGAUCUGGACAUCAGGGACCCUAGGCUUCAAACCGUUUCGUCUUCCAUGCAACUCCACUAACGAGUUAAUCUCUUUUUGCUUCUCAUCAGGUUUUAUCCCCAAAAAAGAUCUGAAAUGGUUUUUUUCUGCACUAAUAAUAACAUGUUACUUUAUUUGGAGUUACAGAAAUAAAACCUUGUUCUCCACCCAUAAACACGAUGUCACAGGAAUCUCUAAGGAAAUCGAAUUUUGGAUUGCGAACGGUACCACAAUAAAUUCAAAAGCCCAGGUGGUAUCAAUUCCAACCCUUUUGUCAGCUACUCUAUCAAGCCCAUCAACUUUACAAUACACAUCAAAUGUUCUUAUCAUCACAAGUAUCAAUGAUGAAAAAUCAAAGCUGUCUACAUGGGCUUUUAUAUUUGUAUCUCAAAACACCGAUAUCUUAUGGGAAGCAAAUUAUGUGUUGACAGGAAAAAGUGGUGAGGCGGAGGCUCUCGGACUCCAUCAAGGAGCGAGAAUAAACAAUUGGGUCGUGGAUCAAGUAUGGAGUGAUGCGAUGGAGAUUGAUCUCCUUUUUGCAAAGCAAUUUCAAGAACUUUUGGAGUUAUGGCCUACUAUUCUAGUUAUGCUAUGCCAUGAAAUAGAGAUUCACCCCAAGUACCCUACAUUUUGUAAUAUAACGGGACACUCGUCUCUAGUUGAACUUAAGUAUCUAGCGUAUGAAACUAUAACUACUUGAUCACCUAUAGUUAGAUAUGAUCCAGUAUGUAACCUAAUUUCUAAGAACUAAUGCUUGCUUUUCUUUUGCUUAUCAAAAAAAAAAAAAAAGUUAAAUUUAAUGACCAAAUAUGGAAUAAUUUGAAGUU